rfam:Gossypium raimondii Chr06_contig_1042, whole genome shotgun sequence.
AAUAGGAGAAUGAUAAAUUAGAUUUUUUCUCCUAAUUUUUAAUUUUUUUUCUCUUGCAAAAAUUUAAAUUCAACUAAAAAUACUAAAAAUCAAGAGAAAAAAUAUAAUUUAUCAUUUUCCUAUU